rnacentral:rRNA from 1 species
CCUACGGGGCGCAGCAGUGGGGAAUAUUGGACAAUGGGCGAAAGCCUGAUCCAGCCAUGCCGCGUGUGUGAAGAAGGCCUUCGGGUUGUAAAGCACUUUCAGUGGGGAAGAAAGCCUUGGGGCUAAUACCCUCGAGGAAGGACAUCACCCACAGAAGAAGCACCGGCUAACUCCGUGCCAGCAGCCGCGGUAAUACGGAGGGUGCGAGCGUUAAUCGGAAUUACUGGGCGUAAAGCGCGCGUAGGCGGUCUGAUAAGCCGGUUGUGAAAGCCCCGGGCUCAACCUGGGAACGGCAUCCGGAACUGUCAGGCUAGAGUACAGGAGAGGAAGGUAGAAUUCCCGGUGUAGCGGUGAAAUGCGUAGAGAUCGGGAGGAAUACCAGUGGCGAAGGCGGCCUUCUGGACUGACACUGACGCUGAGGUGCGAAAGCGUGGGUAGCAAACAGGAUUAGAUACCCGGGUAGUC